CUUUUUUAAAGUUUUUUGUGUGUUGAUGGUAAUUUUUUUUAUCUAUUUUAAAAUAGGUAUUACCAAAUAGUAUCUCUUGUUUCACUUCUUGGUGAGUACUGGCUUAUCACAUUAAUUUAGGAACUUUUUUUAAAAAACCUACAGAGAUUAUGGAGAAGUCUGGCGAGGAAGGAAUGCCUGAUCUUGCCCAUGUCAUGCGCAUCUUGUCUGCAGAAAAUAUCCCAAAUUUGCCUCCUGGGGGAGGUCUUGCUGGCAAGCGCAAUGUUGUUGAAGCUGUUUAUAGUAGACUGAAUCCACAUAGAGAAAGUGAUGGGGUAAGUUUUAUUUUAUUUCAUAAGCAUUUGAAGUAAUUUCACAAUAUAAAUACUAAAUAUGAAUAUAUUCACAUUAACGAAGUCUAUAAUAAAUUAUAGUCUAGUAAAUUACUACUGCUUUUCAUUUUAAAGUGUCAGUUAAAGUUUAAGAAAAUGUAUUGAAAUGAAGGUAGAGAUAAAAUUUUGUUUUGUAGAUAGCUUUGUUGUCACUUUCUGGGCAUCAAAUGACCUUUUUUGUUUGGGCUGUCUUUUAUUUCUUCUCUAUAUGUCUGCUUUUCCUUCUCCUUUAAACCUUAAUUUUGAGGCAAGAAUGCUCUUUUAAAUAUCUCAAUUUCUCCUCCAGCAGGCUGCUGCCAUCACCAGAAGUUAGUGAUAGUGAGUGAGUUGUUAUUUUAAUGACUAGACCUUUCAGUACCCCUGUAUGCCCACUUGGAAUACCCGGGGAUAGUUUUUUUCUAAUAUUAUUGUUGUAUUAUGGGUAUAUGAGCGUUGAGCUGAGAUAACCAUUUCUGUUGUACCUUGCUGUACUUCAUCAGAGCAAGACUCUAUGCCCUUACCUUUUAUUUUGCUUUCCUUCGAAAUGUCAGUGAGCUGCCAGCUGCUCCUCUAUAUUGUUUUGUUUUGUUUUGUUUUAGUACUAUUACCAUGAGACAGAAGUGUCUUUUUU
rnacentral:sRNA from 1 species